rnacentral:rRNA from 1 species
UACGGGGGGUGCGAGCGUUGUCCGGAAUCACUGGGCGUAAAGGGUGCGUAGGUGGCGUCGUAAGUGGGGUGUGAAAUCCCGGGGCUUAACCCCGGGACUGCAUUCCAUACUGCGGUGCUUGAGGACUGGAGAGGAGACUGGAAUUUACGGUGUAGCAGUGAAAUGCGUAGAGAUCGUAAGGAAGACCAGUGGCGAAGGCGGGUCUCUGGACAGUUCCUGACACUGAGGCACGAAGGCCAGGGGAGCAAACGGG